rnacentral:lncRNA from 1 species
AUGGGACAAAAAAACCCUUUCACCAGUGUUAUUGCUUUUUUGUGUGGCGAAAAAUUAAAGCGAUCCAUUUCCACGAACCGGGAGUUUUAUUAUUGUUUGUGCACAGCUGUACAUGUGUUGUUCUCUCCCUCCCCCGUGUUUCAGAGUGAUUUGACCUCUGUGGUCACCGGAGUCACGAGUCGAGUCCUAGGGCCCACGUUCUGUCCAGAAAGAGCUUGGUGCACAAAGCCCACUAUUGUUCCUGUGCACAUCGCUCGUUUUCACGGGUCACCCAGCUUUGUGUCUGUGUCUCUUCAGCUGUUGGUACGAAUCCUGGCACAGACCACCAGGCAAGUGCACUUCUGGGAUUUUCGGAGCCCCGGGUUCAGACACAAUGGAGAGGAAUGCCCCAGGCCAUGCGGGUACAAUCCAGACCGAGUUCAGGCGGUCUUGGCGCUCCGGUCCGCUGCUGUGCGCGGUGCAGUUCGACAGUCCAAAUCUCCCUUGGUCCACAUCCAGGGAAUUCGGUUGUUGCACUAGUGGACUGGAAUCCUCGAUCCCGAGACGCGGGGUGGACAAGGUGAUAUUCACGCAGCCCUUCGGCAUCCUUUUCCCGUCAUCCUUUUGACUUUAAAACAUGAAUGAAACAGUAUAGGACGAGAGAAUAUUUAUCCGCCGAGCCAUUUCUUCACACGCCUGUCCGCGGGAUUUGUACUCAUGGUGCGGUUUUGCGUGAAAGUAUGCGAACCCCACGCGUCCCUCGGUUUUACCACGAAACCUUUACUUAACGAGAAGCGGUCUUUCUCGUCUGAGAUAAUAGUUGUGUUAUUAUCAGUUCCAUAUGUUGGUUUAGAGGAAAUCGUGUGUAUAGUAGAAAAACGGAAGUAGUGCAGGUGCAAAAAUGAGUGAAUCCCAAGUUGCGUUGGUUAAACCAAGCAGGUAAGUAGAAUCGGGUG